rnacentral:rRNA from 1 species
GACGAACGCUGGCGGCGUGCCUAAUACAUGCAAGUAGAACGCAGUUGCGAACGGGUGAGUAACGCGUAGGUAACUGCCUCAUAGCGGGGGAUAACUAUUGGAAACGAUAGCUAAUACCGCAUACUGUGAGAUGGACCUGCGUUUUAUUGGAUAGUUGGUGAGGUAAAGGCUCACCAAGGCGACCAUACAUAGCCGACCUGAGAGGGUGAUGGGCAAAAAGGGGACUGAGACAAGGCCCAGACUCCGACGGGAGGCAGCAGUAGGGAAUCUGCGGCAAUGGAAGGAAGUCUGACCGAGCAACGCGGCGUGAGUGAAGAAGGUUUUCGGAACGUAAAGCUCAGUUGUAAGAGAAGAGGGAAGGAAAAAGAAAGGGACGGCUAACUACGUGCCAGCAGCCGCGGUAAUUG